CAUCGCCCUCACCGUGGAUGAGGGAAGAGUCAAUUCUGCCAGGACUACAGGGAAAUUUGUUGGAUUUCUGGCUCCUCCUUGACCAGCAGUUUCAGUUCUGUUGUUUGCCUGAGCAUUUCUGCUGGUCUCACCUGGGUUCAUUUACGUGGCUGCAGUCAACUGGUGACUGAAUUGCAAUGGCUGAUGCAGCUGGGAUGUCGGGGCCUCUCUCUCCACAUGGCUUUCCAUCCUGACUAUCUUCACAGCAUGGUGAUCUCAGUGUUCCAAUAGGCCAUGCCCAUCGGCAUCAACCCAUCCACUUCCCGUGGGAGUUGCAGGAUCCCAAGGAACAUGUUUGAACCAUCUCCCGAGUCAGGAAUUGGAAGAAGAAAAAUAAACCUUUGUACAAGCACCUCACUAAAAA